rnacentral:sRNA from 1 species
CGACUAAGGUUCGACUUGAGCGAAGCGAGAGAACGUUGCCGCAGGCAACGGCCCGAAGGCGAGGCGCUUUAGCGCCGAGUAAUCCUUCCCCCACCACUG